AUCACUUGAGAUCGUCCAUCAGAAGUGUUAACAUAGAUCUCUAUGCCGAUGAGGAUUUGGGCAACACACCUAUGAACGAAGAAGUGAAGGAGGAGAUUGUAGUUUACCUAUUCCAGUGAAGGGCAAGAUAGAGACUUUAAAUCAAGCAUUAGAUAUCUUUGGGAUGAAUGUGAUUGUGGAAGCAAGUUUUUUGUUAUGACCAAGCAAAAAUAACAUCACAUAUCAAGGAUCGUGAUCUCCGAUCCAGAAAUUUUGCCAACCAGUUAGAAGCGGCUACCUUGGAACAAAUAGUUCUAAUUCCGUAUAAUACUGGGUAAAUAAAUAAGAUUAACACAUUAUUAUGUUUUUCAUUGAGGUUAAAUGUAUACUCACAUUGAAGAUGUUUAUUGUAGUUUUCAUUGGAUGUUGCAUGUCAUCGAUCUUCGAGAGAACUGUGUUUAUGUUUUGGACUCUCUUCAAAGUAAAGUUAACGAAGACAUCCAUGGAGUCA